ensembl:lncRNA
GCCCCCCCCACGUCUCCCUCGCCCCUGGGCGCUGCCACCUGCUGGCGGCGUGCUGGGUGACGGCCCUGGUGGGUGCGCGGCACCCCAGGAGCCUUCGGGAUCCAAAGCUGUGGGUGUUCAGGCGCCGGGGCAUCUCCGCACCGGAGGCCGCGUGGACACCGGACGCAGUGGCCUUGGUGGCGGAGUCUCGGGCAGCUGGGGCGAGCAUGGCCAGCCCCCCCGCGGGACCCCGUGCCGCCCACCCCGUGGAUGCCGUGUCCGUGUCCGCGUGGAAACACGGCCUCGCUCCUCGUGCAUACCUGGCCCUGCCCUCGCCGCCGCCUUGGAGCCUCUCGCGCCCCCGCACGGCCCACAGGUCAGCCCGCAGGUGGCUUCUGGCACUGCCCCGGGGAGUGGCAGUGCCACGAGGACUGACGCGUGGGUCUGGCAUGACUUGGCGGGCACGUGCGGUGUAGACGCGAUGCCAGCUGAACCUGUGCGGGGUGAGCUCGGCGACCCGGGGCGCGCCCGGGGCCUACCACUCCCUCCGCUCCUCCUCCGUUAUGCCCCGCGGCUGCGCGGAGCGGCCUCCAGUUGGAGGUUCGGGCGCGAGGAGUCGCUCAGGGUCGCCCCGCACCGGGCCAGUGGCCCCGACGCCAGGCCGAGCCCGGCAGCUGGGAGGAGAUGCUCCGCCAACGUUUGUCAGAUGCGUCGGGCACUGAUUAGUGAUCACUUUUGGGUUCCAGUGUUUCCGUUUUCCGAGAGGGAGAGGUCGCAGACUAGCGAAGUAUGGAUUGGUCGUGACAUCUUGAGUAGUUGUUCAUGGUCCUUUCUUCAAGUGUCCACUUUCUGCCCUUUUCUGAGCUCGACUGUAAACUUUUUCAAGGAAUUUAAGGUGACUCUGUUAAAACAAAGGCUGUAUUUGUGA